UGGGAUAGCUCAGUCAGUAGAGCAUCAGACUCUUAAUCUCAUAGUCGUGGGUUUGAGGCCCAUACUGGGGAAAA